UAACUAUAACUGUCAGUGUAAUCCGUGUAGUCAGAUAGUCCUGAGGUAGCCACAGGCUACCCGAGCCAUCAGUGAGAUACCACUCUGGAAGAACUAGAAUUCUAACCUUGUGUCAAGACCUAUGGGCCAAACGAUAGUCUCAGGUAAACAGUUUCUAUGGGGCGUAGGCCUCCCAAAAUCUAACAGAGGCGUGCAAAGGUUUCCUCUGGUCGGACGGAGAUUGGCCUCUCUUUAAGGGAUGAUAUUGAG
rnacentral:lncRNA from 1 species